rnacentral:lncRNA from 1 species
UAAAAUCUAAAAUUGAUGGUCUUUCAUAUAAGAAUUAAAAUGUAAAAUUUGUUAAACUACAAGGACUACUAAGAAAUUUAACCAAAUAAUGAUUUAUGUAGAAUUUUCCUUGUCUUUUUACUGGUAGAAAUUUGCAGAAAUUAAGGGUUUUAGACAUUUACAUAUGUGGAAAUGAAGGUAAAAUGGGGGAGACAAGAGCAGCUUGUUAGGUUGCAAAAUAAGCCCCUUUUAGUCUUUUCUUCCAAAAGAAAGGCAACAAAAGGGCAGAUCAUACAUGUAUAGUGAUAUCUUGGUGGUUAUAUUCAGGAUCUUAGGAACAGUUGUUUUUUAAGGCAUUC